GCCUCAUUUGGAUGUUUCUGGAGUUUUGGAAGCUUGACUACCCUACGUUCUCCUACAAAUGGACCUUGAAAGCUUGUUUGGAGAGAUCAAGAGCACACGUG